GACGAACGCUGGCGGCGUGCCUAAUACAUGCAAGUAGAACGCUGAAGAGAGGAGCUUGCUCUUCUUGGAUGAGUUGCGAACGGGUGAGUAACGCGUAGGUAACCUGCCUUGUAGCGGGGGAUAACUAUUGGAAACGAUAGCUAAUACCGCAUAGCAAUGGAUGACACAUGUCAUUUAUUUGAAAGGGGCAAUUGCUCCACUACAAGAUGGACCUGCGUUGUAUUAGCUAGUAGGUGAGGUAAUGGCUCACCUAGGCGACGAUACAUAGCCGACCUGAGAGGGUGAUCGGCCACACUGGGACUGAGACACGGCCCAGACUCCUACGGGAGGCAGCAGUAGGGAAUCUUCGGCAAUGGGGGCAACCCUGACCGAGCAACGCCGCGUGAGUGAAGAAGGUUUUCGGAUCGUAAAGCUCUGUUGUAAGCCAAGAACGGGUGUGAGAGUGGAAAGUUCAUACUGUGACGGUAGCUUACCAGAAAGGGACGGCUAACUACGUG
rnacentral:rRNA from 1 species